rnacentral:lncRNA from 1 species
UGCUUCCCUGACAGAGUCAGCUAAUUGCUGCAGUGGCUUAACACACAUACACCAAGGACCAAAACUUUCAGAACCCUUUCUUUCUGCCACAGGGCUGUCCCAGCCCCCUUUCAUGCUACCCUGUCUUCUUCUUGACUCCAGGGAUGCUGUUGCUUGUUGCAAGAUUGGUGGCCUCCUUUCUCUAUUCUGACAAUUAUUGGUUGACUCUCCAAAUACUUGCCCAUCACGACUGAUAUUCUUCUGUGAGACGUGAGCAGAUGCUCCAACAACUGUCUGGAGCCUUAGAGUGUGUGCCCUUAUCCUUGGCAGGAGGGAGAAGCAUCUAUUUUUAGGAAGAAUUCCCCUGUUGGUCACAAGAAACGAGGGGUCUUUCGAGCCCCUGGAGAACCAGCUGGCCCCAAACUGGAUCUGAAGAGCAAAACACUUGAGCAGAUUCCAUCAGAUUCCAUCAGAGGAGGAUUCCAUCAGAUUCCAUCAGAGGAGGAUUCCAUCAGAUUCCAUCAG